CACGUAGGCACCAAGCGUUGUCCGGAAUCAUUGGGCGUAAAGCGCGUGUAGGCGGCCCGGUAAGUCCGCUGUGAAAGUCGGGGGCUCAACCCUCGAAUGCCGGUGGAUACUGUCGGGCUAGAGUGCGGAAGAGGCGAGUGGAAUUCCUGGUGUAGCGGUGAAAUGCGCAGAUAUCAGGAGGAACACCAAUUGCGAAGGCAGCUCGCUGGGACGUGACUGACGCUGAGACGCGAAAGCGUGGGGAGCAAACAGG
rnacentral:rRNA from 1 species